UAAACGACUCUCGGCAACGGAUAUCUCGGCUCACGCAUCGAUGAAGAACGUAGCAAAAUGCGAUACCUGGUGUGAAUUGCAGAAUCCCGUGAACCAUCGAGUUUUUGAACGCAAGUCGCGCCCGAAGCCUUUUGGCCGAGGGCACGUCUGCCUGGGCGUCACAC
rnacentral:rRNA from 1 species